CGGACGUGCGCUCCGCGCGCUCGCUCACUUUCUGGCUGGAUCUCGUAGAGAGCAGACGUGUGUUCUCCGCGGUCGCUCAGUUUCUGCCUGGAAGUUGCCGCGGGGGAAAAGGUGAGUGAUUUGACGCGCUCCUUUUCUCGUAUGUUUGCCGUGUUUAGCGGUGACCGCGCUCGUGUUAAGCCUUUUCUCGCAUGUUUAGACUUGUUUUGCGGUGUCCAAGCCUGUUGACGCAUGUUUAGCGAUGUGUGGUUCCCGCCUUGUGUUAGCUGCGUAGUGUUGAGGUUAGGCCUAAGCGAUCGUCCCCGUAAGCCUUUUUCCCCGAUGUGUACUGUUUUCUGUUUAGCAGUAGCGGUUAGACCUUUUCUCUCGCAUGCCUAGACUUGCUUAGCAGUGCUGUCAUUUUUACCUGCCGCUAGUAUCUUGUUCUGUCUUUCUCGUCUAGAGCUAUGAUGGUGGCGCCAUCUGGUGUGAUGCCUUGCAACUAAGUGGCCACCUGUCGUCGAUCUCUGCAACUGCUGGGUGCAAACUACCAACAUGGCGGACGCUGGUCACUCGGGUGUUGCGGAGCGGCUUCUUCGCCGCGGCAUCGUUGAUUUUCGAAUAAAUUGUUUCUCUCCA